rnacentral:rRNA from 1 species
CCUACGGGGGGCAGCAGUGGGGAAUCUUGGACAAUGGGCGCAAGCCUGAUCCAGCUAUUCCGCGUGUGUGAAGACGGCUUUCGGUUUGUAAACCUCUUUUGUCGGGGAGCAAAAGCUGGCCGUAUCCGGCUGUGAGAGUACCCGAAGCAAAAGCAUCGGCUAACUCCGUGCCAGCAGCCGCGGUAAUACGUAGGAUGCGAGCGUUAUCCGGAUUUAUGGGGUUUAAAGGGUGCGCAGGCGGAUUUUUAAGUCAGCGGUCAAAUCGUGGGGCUCAACCCCAUCCAGCCGUUGAAACUGGGGAUCUAGAGUGUGCGAGAGGUAUGCGGAAUGCGUGGUGUAGCGGUGAAAUGCAUAGAUAUCACGCAGAACCCCGAUUGCGAAGGCAGCAUACCGGUGCACAACUGACGCUCAGGCACGAAAGCGUGGGUAUCGAACAGGAUUUGAUACCCCAGUAGUC